AUGAACGCUGGCGGCUUGCCUAAUACCUGCAAGUCGCGCGAACGGACGAGAAGCUUGCUUCUCUGAUGUUAGCGGCGGACGGGUGAGUAACACGUGGAUAACCUACCUAUAAGACUGGGAUAACUUCGGGAAACCGUAGCUAAUACCGGAUAAUAUUUUGAACCGCAUGGUUCAAAAGUGAAAGACGGUCUUGCUGUCACUUAUAGAUGGAUCCGCGCUGCAUUAGCUAGUUGGUAAGGUAACGGCUUACCAAGGCAACGAUGCAUAGCCGACCUGAGAGGGUGAUCGGCCACACUGGAACUGAGACACGGUCCAGACUCCUACGGGAGGCAGCAGUAGGGAAUCUUCCGCAAUGGGCGAAAGCCUGACGGAGCAACGCCGCGUGAGUGAUGAAGGUCUUCGGAUCGUAAAACUCUGUUAUUAGGGAAGAACAUAUGUGUAAGUAACUGUGCACAUCUUGACGGUACCUAAUCAGAAAGCCACGGCUAACUACGUG
rnacentral:rRNA from 1 species